AUACCUACGGGACGCAGCAGUGGGGGAUGUUGCACAAUGGGGGGAACCCUGAUGCAGCGACGCCGCGUGGGUGAAGAAGCGCCUCGGCGCGUAAAGCCCUGUCAGCAGGGAAGAAAAUGACGGUACCUGAAGAAGAAGCCCCGGCUAACUACGUGCCAGCAGCCGCGGUAAUACGUAGGGGGCAAGCGUUAUCCGGAUUUACUGGGUGUAAAGGGGGCGCAGACGGCGAUGCAAGCCAGGAGUGAAAGCCCGGGGCCCAACCCCGGGACUGCUCUUGGUACUGCGUGCAUGUAGUGCAG
rnacentral:rRNA from 1 species